rnacentral:rRNA from 1 species
UGGGGAAUAUUGCACAAUGGGCGAAAGCCUGAUGCAGCGACGCCGCGUGAGGGAUGACGGCCUUCGGGUUGUAAACCUCUUUCAGCAGGGACGAAGCGCAAGUGACGGUACCUGCAGAAGAAGCACCGGCUAACUACGUGCCAGCAGCCGCGGUAAUACGUAGGGUGCAAGCGUUGUCCGGAAUUACUGGGCGUAAAGAGUUCGUAGGCGGUUUGUCGCGUCGUUUGUGAAAACCAGCAGCUCAACUGCUGGCUUGCAGGCGAUACGGGCAGACUUGACUACUGCAGGGGAGACUGGAAUUCCUGGUGUAGCGGUGAAAUGCGCAGAUAUCAGGUGGAACACCGGUGGCGAAGGCGGGUCUCUGGGCAGUAACUGACGCUGAGGAACGAAAGCGUGGGUAGCGAACAGG